AGAUGGCCAUGCAAAGACAGAGGCAGAAAUUGGAGUGAUGUAGCUACAAGGCAAGGGAUGCCAAUGAUUGCCAGCAACCACUAAAAGCUGGGAAGAGGCAGGGGAGGGUCCUUCUCCAGAGCCUUCAGAAGGAACAUAGCCCUGAAGACUCCGUGGUUUUGCACUUCUAGUCUUCAUAACUAAAACACAGACAUUGGAAGACGUAUGAGACUACGGAAACUAAUUUUCUCAAGGUCAACAAAUAGAGUUGGAAAAUAACGAAGGAACAAAGAAAUGCUGACAGAAAAUGAAUUUCAUACUCCAGUAGUGUUACCAAACUACAUUUCCCCAUCAUGGUAGCCUAAGCCAGGAAGUGGAGAAAAGAGAAGGAUGUCAUUAAGUGGAAAAUAAUCAGGGCAUUUUGAGAGUGGUGUUUUUGGCCGUCGAGAUAAGUCAGUCAUUCUGAGGUAUGGAUGGACAGAGAGCAAGCACUGGCAAGAACAAGAAGAGACGAAUAGGUCGGGCUCUCUCUGUGGGUAUAAAACUCUGAGCAGUUCACUUCAAUUCAUUGGAUCUUGGUGGGCCUCAGACCCACUAAUUACUAUAGUUUCUUGAGGCCUCAAGGUUCAUUUUCUAAAGAAGAACUCCGGCCACGUUCAUUUAUAGCUAUCUUUUAAAAAUACCCAAAUCUGGCUGCGCAGUGGCUCACGCCUGUAAUCCCAGCACUUUGGGAGGGUGAGGUGGGAGGAUUGCUUUAGACCAGCAUGGGCAACACAGCAAGACCCCAUCUCUACAAAAAAUAAAUAAAUAAAUAAAAAUUAGCUGGGUGAAGUUGUGUGUGCCUAUAGUUCCAGCUACUCAGGAGGUUGAGGCAGGAGAAUUGCUUGAGCC
rnacentral:lncRNA from 10 species